AGCGAACGCUGGCGGCAGGCCUAACGCAUGCAAGUCGAACGGACCCUUCGGGGUUAGUGGCGGACGGGUGAGUAACACGUGGGAACGUGCCUUUUGGUUCGGAAUAGCUCCUGGAAACGGGUGGUAAUGCCGAAUGUGCCCUUUGGGGGAAAGAUUUAUCGCCAUUAGAGCGGCCCGCGUCUGAUUAGCUAGUUGGUGAGGUAAAGGCUCACCAAGGCGACGAUCAGUAGCUGGUCUGAGAGGAUGACCAGCCACAUUGGGACUGAGACACGGCCCAAACUCCUACGGGAGGCAGCAGUGGGGAAUCUUGCGCAAUGGGCGAAAGCCUGACGCAGCCAUGCCGCGUGAAUGAUGAAGGUCUUAGGAUUGUAAAAUUCUUUCACCGGGGAAGAUAAUGACGGUACCCGGAGAAGAAGCCCCGGCUAACUUCGUGCCAGCCGCCGCGGUAAUAC
rnacentral:rRNA from 1 species